AUAUAAACCCCUUAUGUUUCGAAGUAAUAUUGUCGGAAAAAUCAUUUUCAUUCUAUAUCUUUGCAAGAAGGAAAAGAGAGAAAUUUGUGGCUCCAAUUUUCAGGUUGCAAAAUGAGUGAGAGUGAGCAAAAAGAGCAACAAAGUAAAGCUGAGGAGGGGUUGGAGAAUAAGAAAGACGAAUUUGUUGAGGCCUUGGAGAAGAACAAGGAUGAGCAAGGGCUGCGGGAAGCUUUCGGCGUCCUCGCCAAGGGUUCGCCCACGACUUGCAUCAAGCCCGUCCAUCUUCAUCGCGCACUCGCUAUUCGAGGUCAGGAAAUCUCUCUUCAAAAGACUGAGACUAUUAUUCAACAACUCAAUAAAGAAGGGACAUUUAGCUGCGACGACUUUGUGCGUAUUGUCAAUGUGAUCCUGGCUAUGGGGGCCGUGAAGAAGAAUGACGUGGAAGGGCUGAAGAAAGCAUUUUGCGUCCUCACCAAAAGUGAUAAGCCCACAGCCAGAGUUGGUGUGGAAGAUGUUCAACUCGCACUCAUUAUUCCAGAAUCGGAGCUCUUGCUUCACAACGCAAAACAGAUGGUUCAAGAAGUUAAUGUACAAGGAUCCUUUAAUUGUCACGAGUUUUUGGACCUUUUCAAGUUGUUGGAGGAGCCCGGUGAACCAAAUCAGACGAAGAAAAUAUACGAAAAAUUAAAGCAUUUAGAAGAGAAGGAGACGAUUAUUGUGUAUGGCAGAGAGGGAGUGGGGAAAACAUGGGCGGCAAGAGAAGUGGCGAAUCUUGCAGUGAGAAAGCAUGAUCUUGAUGCUGCAAAAAAGGACGAUUCCGAUGCUAAAAAAAAGGACGUUGAAGGUUUUGAUGCUGCCAUUUGGGUUUAUCUCAACAGGAUUUACAAAGAUGAUGAUUUGAGCCUUCAAAAGAGCAUUGCUUAUCAAUUGUUUGUGCUUGCUGAUUUUGAGGAUGCAGAGGCGAAGAAGGCUGACGAGAAGAAGAAGAAGGAGCUCGAGAAGAAGGCCGAGGGGCAGGAGGAGAUUCCUAAGAAGAACAAGGCUGAAGAGGAGACUGAUGAUAAGAAGGAAGCCGAGAGAAAGCGACAAGAUAUUGAGGAAUUGAUUGUUAAGAAUCUCGAUAAGAAGAAUAUUCUUUUUGUGGUGGAUGGUGAUAGUUAUGGGAGAAAAUUAAAAGCAGAGGUCGUGACUGAGAUGAAAGCUAAAGAGGUCGUGACUGGGAUGAAUAAGAUGAAAGAUAAGAGCGGUGAUGGAGGAAACAAAGUAGAAGAAGAAAAAGAGCGCAGUGAUGGAAAAAAGAAUGGAGAAGAAGAAACAAAGGGUGGUGAUGGAAAAAAGAAUGGAGAAGAAAAGAAAGAGGGUGGUGAUGGAAAAGUUAAAGUAGAAGAAGAAAAGAUUGUUGUUUUAAAGUUAGAAGCUGGUGAAGAACCGGUAGUGAGACUGGAGUUAGGUGCCUUGAAAUCUUACAAAGUUAUGAAAACUGUGAGAAAAGAUGAAAUCGAGCAAGGGAUGAAUGGGGUGAUGGUGAAACCCUUCACCUGGGAAGAAUCCAAGUCAUUGGCAACUCGAGCCACGAAGACAGAGGGAGUCUUAGACGAGUACAGUGAAGAAGCCGAAAAAUUAGCUCGUUAUUUCAUGUUUAGGAGCGAGAGGCUUCCAGCUCAGCUUCUCUUGAUAAGCAGAAUCGUGAGCUACAUUGGUAAGAAAGGCAAGUUGGAAUUGCGAAAGCUGAGAAACGACAUAGCUACGAUCAAGAAAGGAGAAGAAGGUGUGGAGUGGUGGGAUGUGCUGAUCAAGAGGUACGAGGAGAGGCUCCCGAAGAGCGUCCUGAUCGACUGCUACGACCGGAACAGGCCCGAGAACCACUUCAUGCAUGGAGGCAGAGCAGUGAGCUUCAACGAGGUGAUCUGCUACUGGAUCAUGGAGGGCCAUCUCGGCUCCUUUGAUCGUGUCGAUGAGGCCUACCACAAGGGCCACCGUGUCUUGAUGGAGCUCAUGGACUGCGGCCUCCUGCAGAAGCAGGAGGCCGACUACAUUACACCCACCGGUGCUUUAAUGAAAUUCACAUUCCACAUCAAUGACUACAAGGACUUCUUCAGUGGCAUCCGCCCCGGGAUAGGUGUCACAUUCGACAUGAGCCUAGGGAGGGUCGCGCUCGCAGAUGGAAUGAUCAGAACAAUCAACACCAGCACCAGCACCAGUCACCAAAAACAGAUAAUAUCCGCACUGCUGCUUGAUGGCAACCGCAUUGGUCGAGAGGAACGCCCCACAGAGAGAUUGUGGGAGCACAAGGAUGAGGUCGAGAUACUCGCCAUCUCCGAUCCUACUAGCCAGCAUUUCAAGCUUCCCAUUCUUGAAAUGAAGAUGCUCCGCUUCCUGGCCCUCCGAGGCUGCAAGUUUCUCGAAAGCCUCGAGCCUUUCCUUGAGAAAAAACACGAUCAAGAGAAGGAACAAUCUCCUCAGAAAAGUGACAAAGAGAAUGAUAAAUCUUCUCAGGCGCCCCCGGCCCGGAUUUCUGAGAAGCUGGAAGGGCUCAACGUUCUUGAGAUAUCUGGUCCCAGUUUACAGAUACAAGAUAUACCUGACGAUCUCUUCACCCUCAUGCCUAACCUUAAAACACUAAACUUGUCUCAUCUUCUCAAUGUCAAGUCGCUGCCUUCGUCUUUCUACAACACCUCAACUCAAAUUGAGUUUCUCAUCCUGAGAGGAUGUAAGAGCCUCCAAGAGUUGAAGAGCCUCAAAGGCUUCAAAGAUCUGAAGGUUCUAGACGUUUCCGAGGCCACCUCUUUCGAGAAGUUUGAGGACAAGAGCCUCCAUUCCAACACAAAGCUCCAAGUCCUUAACCUCUCCAAAACCAAUCUCAAGACACUGCCUCUGAUCAACCAGUUGAAGGACCUCAAAUUCGUGUGGUUGAGAGAUUGCAUAGUGCUGCCGAGGAUACGCAAGAUCGACAAAAUGGACAAGCUUGAGAUUUUCGACAUUUCAGGUGCUGGAGAGGUGGAACGCUUCUGCGAUCCAUCGUUGGAAGAUCUCAAGAAACUUAAGAUCGUUGAUAUCUCGCGCACGAAGAUCAGACGGCUGCCUGCCAACCUCGGUGAUCCGAUAUAUCUGUAUGCCAGAAGUUGCCUCAAGCUCAAAGUAGUGCCACCUGUAGAAGAACUCAACAAACUCGAAGUUCUCGAUCUCUCGGGCUGUCAUCGUCUGACAGAGGUCAGAACAGAAUUCUUUGCCAAUGUGCAUGACCUCAGAGAAUUAAACCUCUCCGAAACGGGCGUCCGACUUCUCCCCUUCCUCGGUGACCGCAUCUCUCUUCGUCGUUUGUUGCUGUCAGGAUGCGAGUCCUUGGAGAAGGUGGACAGGUUGAGUUGUCUGAAAGAGCUGGAAUUCCUCGAUCUUUCGGGUUGUAAGAAGCUGAUGGAGUUGGAAGGCGGAACAUUCGACGAAAUGAAGCAUCUCGAGCAGCUUAACCUGUCUGGAACUGGCAUCGGAGGCCAGCAGAAGCCACUGCCAUCCCUGUCCAAACUGGAGAGUCUCAAACAGCUUCAUGUUAGAGACUGUCCUAAUCUGACCGAGUUGCCGGGGGUGGAACAAGUUCCAAAGCUUCAAGUUCUAGAUUGUUCCGGAACUGUUCUAGAAUUACCACCUUUCAGCAAGGAUCAUCCUCCACGCGUAGUUGGAGCAGGUAUAGAAAGCAUCGAUACCGUGCAGCUGUUCAGAAAUCUCGGUGCUGAGCCAAUGCAGGGUGAUGAUCAAGGUGCAAAAAGGGGUUUUAAACAUGAGGAUGUGAGGAAAUGCAAAUGGAUCAUUUCGAAUUGGCGAACCAGUGAUGCAGAGAAGCUCGGGACGCCUGUUUAUGGCGCCCAUUUCCAUCGCCUGUUGAAUGACUAUCCAUCGUUUCUGACGCGGAACUUGAGUAGUUUCUGUUUUCUUGUUUAUCCAUCUGAAGCAGAAGCCAAAGUCGGAGAUAGAUUUCGCCAGGAUUACAUUGAUGAAGUGAGUUUAAGAGAGAUUUAUUUCGAGCAAGUUUGCGCAGAGAAGAUGAAGAGGUGUUUGGAGAUUCGCGAAUUCAAGGAGCUUCCAGAUACUCUUCGUCCGCUGAUAGAGCAGGCUCAGUUGGUCGUGCUCGUGGAUGAUCAGUUUUUGAAGACGUUGCUUGAUUUGCGGGUUGCUAGCACCAUGUCUAUGUCUAUGAAGGCGUGUUGGAUUGAGAGCUGCAGUGAGUUGACGCAUGUCGUUGCUGCCCCUCCGAAGGUGGAGGAGAAAACGGGAGAGGCAGGGAAAGGUGAAGGGGAGCAGCAGAAGAAAGGCAAUCAGCACAAGAAGGUUGCUGCGGUGAAAGAUCAGAGGAAGAAUGCUGCAGAUGGAAAAGCAGGAGGGCCGGCUAAGAGUGCAGAGGAUAAAUCUGGAGAGCCUGCAAAAGGCCAAGGCAAUGAACCUCUUAAGAAUGCUGCUGCGGAUAAUUCGGGAGAGUCUGCAAAAGGCCAAGGCGGUCAACAGAAGAUUGCUGCAGAGGAAAAAUCAGGAGAUGCGGCAAAAAUAGGAGGUGAUGAACAUAUGAAUGCUGCUGCGGAUAAUUCAAGAGAGUCUGCAAAAGGCCAAGGCGAUGAGCAGAAGAAUGCUGCAGAGCAAAAAUCUGGAGAUUCUGCCAAGAGUGAAGGCGAUCAGCAGAAAACUACUGCUGCAGACUAUAAAUCAGGAGAUACAGCAAAAAUUGGAGGAGAUGAACCUAAGAAUACUGCUGCAGAUAAUUCAGGAGAGUCUGCAAAAGGCGAAGGCGAUGAGCAGAAGAAUGAUGCAGACGAAAAAUCAGGAGAUGCAGCCAAGAGUGAAGGUGAUCAGCAGAAUUCUUCUGCUGCAGAUACAGCAAAAAUCGGAGGUGAUGAGCAGAAGAAUGCUGCAGAGAAAAAAUCUGGAGAUGCAGUAAAGAGUGAAGGCGAAAAGCAGAAUGCUGCUGCAGAUACAGCGAAAAUCGGAGGUGAUGAGCAGAAGAAUGCUGCAGAGCUAAAAGCAGGAGAUUCAGAUCAGCAGAGUACUACUGCUGCACACGAGAAAUCAGGAGAGCCGGCAAAGAAUGAAGCCGAUCAACCUAAGAAUGCUGCUGCAGAUGAGAAAAGCGGAGGCGACCAGCAGAAGAAUACUGCAGAGGAAAAAUCAGGAGAGGCAGCAAAAAAUAAAGGCGAGGAGGCGAAAAAUCCUGCUGAAGAGCUAGAGACUUUAUGGAUUUCUGACGCUUCGAAGAUGAAAAGCGUAUGCGAAGGUGACAUCAAAAGCGUGAGCUUCAAAUUCCUCAAAUCACUAUACCUCGAAUACUGCCCAGAGCUCUCUGAAAUCUGCUCCUCAUCCCAGCAACUGGAAAGCCUGGAAACUCUCUUCAUCAAAUACUGCCAGAAACUAGAGAGGCUUUUCACAGACGAAAAGCCAUCCGAGAUGAAGAGGCUACGCCACCUGCAGCUAUGGGGGCUAGACAAGCUGCAGAAGAUCAACUGCAAGGCACCAUUGCUGAGCAAGCUCGGGGUCGGGGAAUGCCCUUUGCUCGAGCACGUGCUUCCAUCAAGAGUAAACGUCUCACAAGUAGAAAACGAAGGUCAUGAGAACCUCGAGAUCCUCCACAUCAAGUCCUGUGACAAUCUGAAGAGUAUUUUCGAGUCACCAUCACCAUCACCAUCACAAGAUGAUGAUGGUGUGGUCUUCGAUAAGCUAAGAGAACUGGAGCUGUCGGGCUUGCCCCAGCUGCAGAAGGUUGUCAAGGAAGCGUUGAGGCUCUGCGUCUUGAGAGUCCGCGACUGCCCCUCUUUGACCAGUGUCAUCGCUGGUGCAGAUGGAGUCCGUGAUCUGGAGACGCUGGAGGUGAAAACCUGUGAGAAAAUGGAGAAGAUCAUUGGAGGUGAGGGAUCCAAGUUGUUGGAAAAGGUUAGCAAAAUCGAGUUGCUGGGGUUGCCGGAGCUGGAGACUGUUGGAGCUACGCUGCCCAAAAAUGAAAGCGGCUACACUAUAUGGGCUUGCCCCAAACUGAAAACACUCCCAGUUUAGUGGAAAGAAGGAUCCAGUGACGUGAUUGGGUUUUUGGUGAAGGUGCCGGGAAAGAACUGGGGCAAUUGAAAAGUUCAAAAUAAGCAGAAACAUGUAACAUGAAGAAACCCAGGUUUAUUACUAUUCAAGCGAUUCACCGCCUUUUGGCUUAUAGGCGUAGUCGUGAUGCUCGAAGUGGAGGACGUCGUCAUGUAACUCCCUCGACGGAAUUCUUCGAACGCUUCAAUGAAUGGGCUUUAUCGCCAAUAUAGACAAAUUGUUGAAAUCAUAUUUUUUUUAAUAGGGCACCUGCAUGCGCCAACACUGGCUCGCAAAGGUGAGUUGCCGCAGUGAAAAUGCUCUAAAAUUUUUUGUGCAUGCGUCGGCACCUGGCUCACAAGCCCCCCUCCCCAACAGCGCUACACGACUCGUGCCUAUCCAACAAGCCACGAUGAAGAUGAUCUAAAACUUUUUGCGCAUGCAUCAACACUUGCGGGGUGAAAUCCAACCACGAAUUCUUUGAAAGUCGUUUGGAAUCUAUGUGAAUUCCAUGGAAUUUAAAUUUCAUGGACUUUUUAAAGUCUGUGGAAAUCCACAACGAAUACAACCCCCUUAGUUUGCAAGUCCCUCUCUUUCUUGACAAUAC